CAACUGGAAACUUGUUAAGCGAAGGGAUAAGAUUGGACAAUUUAAAGUUUAAAUGUCUGACAUUGCAUUAUGUCAAAAUCAUUGUCAGUCACCUAAUUUAUGUUCAAAAUAUGGCUAUUCUGCAAAUAAGCCCUAAAUUAACCUUAUCUUCUUUCUCUACCCUAAACUCUUCAUCUUCUCUCUUCACCAAAAACCUUUCAGAUUUUCAAAUCUUCAGCUCCGGUAGUGCUCUCAUGUUUGUAAAUCAUUUCGGUGUGGUUCUUUUAAGAUAUGUCUUGCUUAAGUUUUGUCUCAUGCUACGGUGGGGAUCUUUUUCUUGUAUUAAUGGCGAAAUCUAAAGAUCUCUUUAGUUUGAUAACCUAAUCGGAAAGGAGAUAGUGUUUAAGAAGGGGGUUUGUCGUUGUUUCUAACUUGGUGUAGACGUGUAUUUUCUCUGUUUUGGUUCCGGGUUUCUGCUUGUAGACACAAAUUAAAGAUCGUUUAUGCCUUUCAAGUCUGGAUCUGGCUACUUUUUUUGGUUUGUUAUUGUUGCAGAUCUGGCCGUUUUCAUUUCGGCAGAGGUGGUUCAUCUACCAGUACUUUUUCGCUUCAGUUGUAGAAGUCUCCACCAUCGCUAGUUUUCUCCUUGUUAUGUUCUCUCGAGAAGAAUAUAUUGCAUUUUCGUUCUGGCUUUUCUUUGCAGUCUCGUUGGCUCCGCUUCUCCAGAGCAAUAUAAAGAGUUCUCAUGAUUUGGAUAUGUCAAUGUUGUCCUUGGGACUCUGUUUUCGGAGCAGUUUAUCAAGGCCCUCUAAUGGUUUUUUCGGCUAUGUCUCCUUGUUUUAAGGCUUUGGUCGUGGAGGGUUGAUCCCUGCCACCAUCUGUAUCUCAUCAACGCAUCUCAUCACAUCAUGUAUUCUUCAAUGUGAAAUGAAUUCUAGUUAAAAAGAAAUUUGACCUUGUAUAUCACGAAUUGUGCCACUGAAAUAAAAUGAGUUCUAAAAAAUUUUAUUAA